rnacentral:lncRNA from 1 species
UAAAUUAAAGCCACUAACAUGCAACCAAGUACAAUACUAAAUUUCAAUAAAUAUAUAUGGUAUGCUUCCCCAUAAAUAAGGAAGAAAUUAAUCAUGAGUUUUGGCAAUGGAGCAGAAAGAUGAACAAGUGUGGGAUUGCGGUAGCCCUUUGUACGAUGCUUAUGAGUUGGUUUCACUAACAAAUAUCAUCGAGAGGCACAUGAUGAUGAUGCCCUCUACAUCUCAAAUUUCCUUCAUUUCCCAAGAGGAACUCGUUGAGCAGGAGGCGGAGGCGAAGGCGAAGAAGAGAUUCGUUGCUUUUCAGAAGAAGGAAUCAAAUUGGUUCAUGACCAAAUUUUCUGGUAUUUUUAGUCGAAUUAGUUUGAUGAAGCGAUUAUGUAUCACGUAUGUAUGAUCGAUAUUCAGCGUUUUUAUUUUUAUUUUUGCACUUAUACUUCAUAAAUUCCAAUCGUACGUGAUAUUAUCAAAAGGAAAUAAUUGAUUUAUUUUGAUGGCAUAAUCUCUAUAAUUUCUUUGCUAGGUCUAGGUGAUCUUUCAUUUCAUGUAUAGCCUUUUUUUCAAGUUUAUAUUGAUAUUGAAUUUGUUAUAAGUAGAAAAGAGGCUAAGAUUUGACUCGGGAAUCCUAGAAUUAAUUGUUUCAUUCAUUCACUAUCUUUAAUUAGGUUUCUAUCUGUCCGGCUGUCCCUAUAUAUAUGUACUAUAUAUAGGAGUGUUUACUAUUUUAGCUAUAUAUAUAUCUUGGUUUCUGAUUUUGCGUAUUGGAACUUGUAUAGAUAGUAUUAAAGGACUCUUAUUUGUAUGAUGGUAUCAUGGUAUUAUCACAUGUUUACCCUGAUGAGAAGUGCAAUUUGAUUAGCUCUAUAUAUAUAUUACCAAAAAUGUCAAGAGUAAGAAAAUAUAUAAUGAUAUAGCAAAUUCAGUUAUAUAUCCAGUUUGAAUUAAUUAUAAGAACAAUUGUAGAGCUAAAUAGUGAUAAAAUAAGAACAUUUACCAUCCACUCGAUGGAAAGUUGUAACUAAAACUUGAAAAGGUGCGACUACUAGAUUGUGUUGUAUAGCCCACAAAGUUAAAAUUGAACAACUUAUAAAAUUGGAUAUUUAAUUGUUAAAUCCUAACUUUGCAUGCAUCAAAUAUAAUUUUUUUUAGCAAAGUUUGUGUAUUUUUACAUGCAAUUUUCCCUAAUAAAAUACUGCAGCUAACACGAUGCAAUUGGUAGCAAAUAAUAAGUUGAGUAUUGUAUCCACAGAGACAAAAAAAUCGAAAACACAAUGAAUAGUCCACAUAAGUACUAAACCAAUAUCGAGGCAAACAACUAACGGAUGAUGAUGAACUAUAGCUAGACUAAAGUAAUGAAAAUAAAUGAAGUCAGUCGAUAAGAAUAAAAAUAUUGAUGUUAGGUAAUGCAAUUACAUUAAAUAAAUUUACAUAAUUAAUCUUUUUUUAGAGAAGUUACAUAAUUUACAUAAUUAAUCUAUUAAUCAAAAUUGCCAGUUUAAUCCAAUUCUGAUGAAAGUUCACAAAACUCACUAUAUACUCUCACUAGAUUAGUCUAUGAUAGUAGAAUAAUAUAGUCUUUAUCACUCGUAAGUAUCAAGAAGAAAUAUACUAAUUCCCAAAAACUAACUUCCAAAAGCACACUAAACAUAGCUUCAUAUGAUCCACCUAUCUUCGUUAGGUCUCAAGGUUAAAAUCAUAUCACACAUUCUUGAAUCGGCUAAACAGUUAUCUCUGCUAGAUCUCAAACAGAAUAACUAAACAUGCAAAUUAUUGGUCAGAUAAUCCACUUUUUUUUUUGAUCAGCAAAAGAAGGAAACUUAAAUAAACCAAAGAAAAAGCAUACGGUACCAGCAGUACCAGAGAGAACAAAAGCAUCAAAGGACCUCAAAGAGAGGGAAAAAGAAGGAAACAGGGGAAAGGAACGAAAAUGACUUCACCCCGAGCAAAUUGCUUGCUC